rnacentral:rRNA from 1 species
ACGAACGCUGGCGGCGUGCUUCACACCUGCCAGUCGAACGGUGAAGCGCCUUCCUUUUUGGUGGGUGUGGAUGAGUGGCGAACGGGUGAGUAACACGUGAGUAACCUGCCCCCUUCUUCUGGAUAACCGCAUGAAAGUGUGGCUAAUACGGGAUAUUCUGGGUCUGUCGCAUGAUGGGUCUGGGAAAGAUAUUGUUUCGGUGGGGGAUGGGCUCGCGGCCUAUCAGCUUGUUGGUGGGGUGAUGGCCUACCAAGGCGGUGACGGGUAGCCGGCCUGAGAGGGUGGACGGUCACACUGGGACUGAGACACGGCCCAGACUCCUACGGGAGGCAGCAGUGGGGAAUAGUGCACAAUGGGCGCAAGCCUGAUGCAGCGACGCCGCGUGAGGGAUGGAGGCCUUCGGGUUGUGAACCUCUUUCGCCAGUGAAGCAGGCCUGCCUCGUUUGUGGGUGGGUUGACGGUAGCUGGAGAAGAAGCGCCGGCUAACUACGUG